GUCGAGAAUCUUUCACAAUGGGGGCAACCCUGAUGGAGCGACGCCGCGUGGAGGAUAAGGUCUUCGGAUUGUAAACUCCUGUCAUGCGUGAACAAGGUUGCUUGGUUAAUACCUGGGCAAAUUGAUGGUAACGCAAGCGGAAGAGACGGCUAACUCUGUGCCAGCAGCCGCGGUAAUACAGAGGUCUAAAGCGUUGUUCGGAAUCACUGGGCGUAAAGGGUGCGUAGGUGGCGUGGUAAGUCAGAUGUUAAAGCCCGGGGCUCACCCUCGGAACUACAUCCGAUACUGCCAUGCUAGAGUACUGGAGAGGUGACUAGAACUCUCGGUGUAGCAGUGAAAUGCGUAGAUAUCGAGAGGAAUACCAAAGGCGUAGGCAGGUCACUGGACAGUUACUGACACUGAGGCACGAAGGCCAGGGGAGCGAACGGGAUUAGAUACCCUUGUAGUCC
rnacentral:rRNA from 1 species